AUAGUUGGCAGUGGGUGGAGGGGGGCGAGGGGGAUUAUUAUCCUCAUUUUACAGAUGAGGAAGCUCAAGUCCAGAGAGGUUAAAGUGACUUUUGUGAAUGUCACACCUCUGCUACAGUGCUCUAAUAAGCCCACUGCACCAAACUUCCAAAUUGGUAAGAUCAUGGCAUCCUUUUUCAGUGAAGAGUGUGUCCCGGAUGCAAAUAGCCAUUAAGUGGUUCAUAUGGUUCUGUGGUUGAGAUGGGCCCUAAGAAGCUGUGAUCUUUCCUCCCAUCUCAUGGUAACCUAGGGGUUAGAGGUAAGGCUACAGUCUGCAACUGAGGUCUGGACUCAGCCCAGGCAAGAACCAGAGACCCGGUCUCCUGGCCCCAGCCCAGUGUUAUUUCCACUCUGACACUGACCUAGGGCAAGGCCCUCCCAGUUUUUUCAGCCUCCCUAUCUGUAGUGAGAGGGUGUGGGAGAGAAAGCCUCUAGGGCCCCUUCCAGGGUCCAGGCUGUAGCUGUGAUCAGUUCUGAGCUCAGGAUGUGAAGGUGAAGAAUGAGAGCAGGAAGUUCCAGGCUCCAGGGGGUGGGGCAGGCCCCACCAGGGGAGGCAGAGGGCACAGAAGCCACCCCUGACCGACUUCACAAGAUAAGGCCCACCCUCACCUCCCCACUUCCUCCUCUCCAGCCCCAGGGUCUCCUUUGCUUCCACAUCUUGUUGACUUUUGAAUUUACAAGGUGUGCCAGUUGCCAAGGCCCCUGGUUGAUUACACCCCCGGACCUGCCUUAGGAAAGCAUCCUCCUCUCCAAGCCCCCACCAGCAACUGGGAGGUGAGGCUGGGAACGCAAGAUGGGAUCUCUCAGGUGCUGGAAAGAAAUUAAAGAGGAAACUUAUCAAAAAGAGGAUGGAAGAGAGAAAGCAAAGAUGCUACCCCACUUUCCGGGAAAGUGAACUGUGGCUCCUAAAGGAAAUCCGACCUGUUCUAGGUUCCAUAGACAGCAGGAGGAGGAAGACAUUGAUCAUGCAUCUACUGUGUGCUAAGUAUGUUCAUACACAUAUAUGCCUUAUUCUGCCAUCACACACACACAAAACCCUAAGGUGGGUUUUUUUUAAUGCCUGCUUGCCAGAUGUGUAAACUAAGGCUCAGAGGCUGGGGUGGCUGUCCCAGGGGAGUGGGGCUGGGCCCCAGGCCUCAUUGGUGUGGAUGAAGCACUCUUGCCCGACCCCAGCAGCCAUGGCAAGACUCAGCCCAUAUCCUUUCAGGGAGUGGCAAAGGAAACACUGGGCCCUUUUACAGGGUUUCCAUGUGCAUGACCGGGAGCCCCUAAGGAUGGCCGAUCUGCCACGGAUGGGAGGAACGGUUUAUUUUUUCUGUGGGCCGCUCUGGAGCCUUUCAAAGGUGUGAAGUUCCAUGGCCUGCAAAAGCUGAUUCUACUGGCUAUCCAAAGCAGACCUGCCUGGGCCCCAGCCCCUGCAGCCCCCACAGUCCCCACAGCCCCCCACAGCCCCCGCAGACCCCGGCCUCUUCAUAUGCCGCCCAUGGGAACUCCCUCUGGCCCACCUGGCCUCUCACACGCUGAAAGGCUGCAGAGUGACAGGCCGGCAACUGGACUCUGAUGUUUAUUCACCAAACACAGAGACGGCCCUCCAGGCCUCUGCUACCUCAGGGAAGAGGGGUCACCAGCCCACCCCCAGGCCAGGAUCCCAGCACACUCACCUCUGGAGACUGGCCAUGAGGAGGAGCAUCCAAGCUGCUCCUGCAGCGAGAGAGACUCUGGUUAGACACAAGGAAGAACUAGCUGCCACUGAGGGACAUUCAGCUCAGAGAGAGAAGCGGAAUCUCCUGAAGUGCCAUGGCAUCUUGGAGGUGCUUUACGUGAUCCUGGGGCUGGGAGAUUCUGCAUGGGAACUGAGCUGGAGAAAAGAUCAUUCAAGGAAGAUAGCCUCGUCUUUUGGCGGUCACUGCACAGACUCUGUCUUUAUAGUGCUUAAAUAAAAAGCAGGAGGUUUCAUAUUUAAAUUGUUUAUCUUCGGCUAGUUCUUCUACAGAGCUUUGGGAUGAAUUCAUUCCGAAGGCAAUAUUUUCUAAAUUACCAGGCUGACUCUGAAGCCGACUUUGUUUUGCUUUUGGUUUAUUCCUAAAUGUAAUAGAAUCCCAAGUGUUAAUCUCCAGUUGAUACCUAACCAUCCUCUUCCACUAUGCUGUCCCGGUGGGGAUUUAUGACUGGGUGAUGAGCCACCACGUCUCUCUGAACCCCGAUGAGGACAUGGAUAACAUCAUCAACUCAUCACUGAACCAUCGUCAUCAACCCAGCUUUAAUCCCCAAGACUGAUAACCAUCGGAGGCUGUUAAUUCCCAGCAAAUUAUCUAAUCCACAUGUUGUCCGAUCUGUGUAAACCCAGCCCAUGAGGAUCAUAAAAUAAAUAAGCAUGAAAUGGCUUACAGUUUCGAAUCUCCUUUCACCUAGAUAGGCCAGGCUGCAUGAUUGCAGCCACUGUCGUGGCUCCCACCUCCUUCCAAGAGGGAAUGGGCAGCAUGGGUUCCUAUGUGGGCCUGCUUGAUGCUGUUUCUA
rnacentral:lncRNA from 10 species